UACGAAGGGGGCUAGCGUUGUUCGGAAUUACUGGGCGUAAAGCGCGCGUAGGCGGACCUGCAAGUCGGGGGUGAAAGCCCGAGGCUCAACCUCGGAACUGCCUUCGAUACUGCGGGUCUCGAGUCCGGGAGAGGUGAGUGGAAUUCCUAGUGUAGAGGUGAAAUUCGUAGAUAUUAGGGAGAACACCAGUGGCGAAGGCGGCUCACUGGCCCGGUACUGACGCUGAGGCGCGAAAGCGUGGGGAGCAAACAGG
rnacentral:rRNA from 1 species